GAGAUCCUUCCAGCUCCCAUCACUGCCUCAUCAGGGGAUGGUUCUGAGGCUGGACUUGGGCUCCGUUCAUGUUCCGGAUCUGAGAGCUGAGGUUCCGCAAAUUGUGAAGAAACCAACUUCAUGCGAUCCAAGCCUGUCAGAUCUGCUCUCUUUGGAUCGGGCUCCUUCGGAUUCGACUUCUUCUGGGCUGGAUCUCUCGACUCCGAGCUCCUCAGAUCCGAACCUAUAGCAGCGGUUGACUCCAAACGCCACUUCUUAGUCUUGGUCGAUGAAGUUGGCGUUGGCUCCGAUCUCGAAGAAUGUGAGUGGAUGAGCCAGAAACUGGUCAACAACAAAGAAGGAAUUUAGGGUGAGGGGUUGCUGCCUCCCGGUGCUGUGUUUGGUGGGAAAAGCAUGUGUACUAAGAGAGGUGCUUGCACCCAGCAGACAUGAAAAAAAUCACCGAUUGGCAAGUCUGCACAUGCGCAGUCCCAACAAUGACGUUCAAAAAAUUCUGUGAUUGAUUGAUUGGAUUUUUAGCCUGCCCUCCUGGGUAGAUAUAAGGGCAGAGCUGGCAUCUGGGUCUGUUGCAGGGCCUGGUACCUGUGCUGGUAACUCUGCUAGCCGAUUCAUGAUUGUAAGUGAGAAGUCGUUUCAGGUUGGGGGGCUGCCUGUAGGCAAGGAGAGGUCUUCCACCCAGGGCUUCUGAAAGAGAGGCAUCAGGCACCAGGCCCUGCAACAGACCCAGAUGCCAGCUCUGCCCUUAUAUCUACCCAGGAAAUACAAUUACAGGACCCAGUGGCGUCAACUACACUGUCUCUGGCUCUUACAACUGCUCAUCCUCCAAUGUGAUAUAUGCCCUCAUGUGCCAACAAUGGCCAUCUGCUCUGUACAUUGGACAAACCAGCCAACCUCUGCACAAAAGAAUAAAUGGACACAAAUCUGACAUUAAAAAUGGCAACAUCCAGAAAUGUGGGAGAACACUUCAGUCUACCAGGACAUUCCAUCAAGUACUUGAAGGUCACCAUAGUUCAACAGAAACCUUUCAAAAACAAAAUCCAGCGGGAAGCUGCUGAAUUGGAAUUCAUAUGUAAAUUUGACUCAGUCAAGCUGGAGACUAUGAAUGGUUAUCUCAUUAUCAGAAGUAACUGACUUCCUUAACAGAAGCAAACUGAUCUCCAUAUCAGAAGCUACUGUUUGCAUCUACUCCGCCCUCCCCUCUCCACCUAUAUAUCUGACCAGUUUCUUCUUGCCCUCCAUGCAUCUGAUGAAGAGAACUGUGAUUCUUGAAAGCUUAUGCUACAAUAAAGUUGGUUAGUCUUAAAGGUGCUACUGGACUCUUUUUGAUUUUGCUACUACAGAGUAACACGGCUAACUCCUCUGCAUCUAACACCAAGGCUCCUGACCAAUGAAACAGGCACAAGAGCUGCCCCCUCAAAGGCCAGGAGUUGAAUCCCCAUAUCUAUCCCCCUACGGCUCAGGUACAGGACCUCCGUCUUCGUGGGGUUCAACUUCAGUCUCCUCUGCUUCACCCAUCGAGACACUGCCCCCAAUGCUCUACUUAGGUCCUCAGGAGCAGAGCCAGGCCAGCCGUCCAUCAACAGAUACAACUGGGUGUCAUCUGCAUAUUGAUGGCAACCCAGUCCGAAACUCCAUGCCGGCUGGGUGAGAGGGUGCAUGUAGAGAUUAAACAACAAUGGGGAGAGUAAUGCCCCCUGGGGGACGCCGCACACCAAAGAUUGACGUGCUGAUAACCUCUCCCCCAGCGCCACUCUCUGUCCCUGACUGUGGAGAAGAGACAAGCCACUGCAAGGCAGUCCCUUGAAUCUCCACAUCGGCAAGGUGAUGGGUUAACAAUUAAUGGUCAACCAUGUCGAAUGCUGCUGAGGGGUCUAGCAACACCAGCAGCGCUGACCCGCCCUGAUCCAGAUGCCUGCAGAGAUCAUCUGUGAGGGUGACCAACACUGUCUCAGUCCCAUGACCCGGGUGGAAACCAGACUGGAAUGGGUCCAGGACCAAUGCCUCAUCCAGGAAAUCCUGCAGCUGCUCCACCACUCGCUCAAUCACCUUACCCAGAAACAGGAGAUUCGAGACUGGGCGGUAACUGGACAGAUCGGUGGGGUCCAACGUUGGCUUUUUCAGGAGGGGCCUCACUACGGCUUGCUUUAAUGCCCUGGGAAAACCCCCAGAGCUCAGUGAUAGAUUAAUAAUGGCCUCCAACGGGGCCCUCAGCCCAUCGAGAGUGGCCUUAAUGAGCGACGAGGGGCAGUGGUCCAAGGGGCAUGUAGUGGGCCUCACCAGCCGCAGGAUCCUGCAAACAUCCUCCUGGGAGACCAGACCAAAGUGAUCUAAAAUUGGGGGUAGCGAAGGGAAACUGUACCUAUUUUUAAAAAAUUGUGUUAAGCCUGACUGAAUAAAAUACAUGGUAAAUGUUACUGAAUCCCUUUACAAUCUGAGGUAAUUUAUAUCUCUACCACAUUAAUGUAUUCCAACUAAACUUAGUCAAGCAUUUAAGUGUCUUGCACAUUAAAAGAUGUCAAGCAUGCAAAAACGUAAGUUAAAAAUGUAUUUUUUUCAGCAAGAGCGCCAGCUGAUUUCUUCUUGACGUUAACAGGACAGAAAAUUUUACUACUAAUAAAAUGCCCAAGCAGCUUAAGAAAUGACUUCACGUAACUCCAUGUAAUCUGACUUAUCGAGAUAUAGACGCAAGAGGGUGCAAGAAUGUGUGCACGAGAGCCUAAGUGUGUGAUGAAGACCAAGGCCAGGAGAAGAUCAGAAAUAAACAGGGUUACAGACAUCCGUAGAAGAAAACCAAAGAAGUCCCAGACCCAUUCGGGGAUGGUGAAAUGUGUAGUUGGCAACUCCUUUC